GUGACGAGCGGCGGACGGGUGAGUAAUGUCUGGGAAACUGCCUGAUGGAGGGGGAUAACUACUGGAAACGGUAGCUAAUACCGCAUAACGUCGCAAGACCAAAGUGGGGGACCUUCGGGCCUCAUGCCAUCAGAUGUGCCCAGAUGGGAUUAGCUAGUAGGUGGGGUAACGGCUCACCUAGGCGACGAUCCCUAGCUGGUCUGAGAGGAUGACCAGCCACACUGGAACUGAGACACGGUCCAGACUCCUACGGGAGGCAGCAGUGGGGAAUAUUGCACAAUGGGCGCAAGCCUGAUGCAGCCAUGCCGCGUGUGUGAAGAAGGCCUUCGGGUUGUAAAGCACUUUCAGCGGGGAGGAAGGCGUUAAGGUUAAUAACCUUGGCGAUUGACGUUACCCGCAGAAGAAGCACCGGCUAACUCCGUGCCAGCAGCCGCGGUAAUACGGAGGGUGCAAGCGUUAAUCGGAAUUACUGGGCGUAAAGCGCACGCAGGCGGUCUGUCAAGUCGGAUGUGAAAUCCCCGGGCUCAACCUGGGAACUGCAUUCGAAACUGGCAGGCUAGAGUCUUGUAGAGGGGGGUAGAAUUCCAGGUGUAGCGGUGAAAUGCGUAGAGAUCUGGAGGAAUACCGGUGGCGAAGGCGGCCCCCUGGACAAAGACUGACGCUCAGGUGCGAAAGCGUGGGGAGCAAACAGGAUUAGAUACCCUGGUAGUCCACGCCGUAAACGAUGUCGAUUUGGAGGUUGUGCCCUUGAGGCGUGGCUUCCGGAGCUAACGCGUUAAAUCGACCGCCUGGGGAGUACGGCCGCAAGGUUAAAACUCAAAUGAAUUGACGGGGGCCCGCACAAGCGGUGGAGCAUGUGGUUUAAUUCGAUGCAACGCGAAGAACCUUACCUGGUCUUGACAUCCACAGAACUUUCCAGAGAUGGAUUGGUGCCUUCGGGAACUGUGAGACAGGUGCUGCAUGGCUGUCGUCAGCUCGUGUUGUGAAAUGUUGGGUUAAGUCCCGCAACGAGCGCAACCCUUAUCCUUUGUUGCCAGCGGUUCGGCCGGGAACUCAAAGGAGACUGCCAGUGAUAAACUGGAGGAAGGUGGGGAUGACGUCAAGUCAUCAUGGCCCUUACGACCAGGGCUACACACGUGCUACAAUGGCAUAUACAAAGAGAAGCGACCUCGCGAGAGCAAGCGGACCUCAUAAAGUAUGUCGUAGUCCGGAUUGGAGUCUGCAACUCGACUCCAUGAAGUCGGAAUCGCUAGUAAUCGUAGAUCAGAAUGCUACGGUGAAUACGUUCCCGGGCCUUGUACACACCGCCCGUCACACCAUGGGAGUGGGUUGCAAAAGAAGUAGGUAGCUUAACCUUCGGGAGGGCGCUUACCACUUUGUGAUUCAUG
rnacentral:rRNA from 1 species